UGGGGAAUUGUUCGCAAUGGGCGAAAGCCUGACCCAGCAACGCCGCGUGAAGGAUGAAGUCUCUCGGGAUGUAAACUUCGUAAGAAUAGGAAGAAUAAAUGACGGUACUAUUUGUAAGGUCCGGCUAACUACGUGCCAGCAGCCGCGGUAAUACGUAGGGACCAAGCGUUGUUCGGAUUUACUGGGCGUAAAGGGCGCGUAGGCGGCGUGGUAAGUCACUUGUGAAAUCUCCGAGCUUAACUCGGAACGGUCAAGUGAUACUGCUGUGCUAGAGUACAGAAGGGGCAAUCGGAAUUCUUGGUGUAGCGGUGAAAUGCGUAGAUAUCAAGAGGAACACCUGAGGUGAAGACGGGUUGCUGGGCUGAUACUGACGCUCAUGCACGAAAGCGUGGGGAGCAAACAGGAUUAGAUACCCAGGUAGUCCCUGAGCGGGCUGGCAAGGCGCAU
rnacentral:rRNA from 1 species